rnacentral:snoRNA from 1 species
UAGGUGUUAACAAACCCCACCCACUGUGACAACAAAAGAAUCCAGUGAAGCCCAGUGGAGUCUAAUUUUAAGAAAUGUAACUUUGCACUGUUGCCACGGCGAUAGUGACUGUCCGUGUCAUUAUCUAUCCACCAACAGUGAGAGAAGCUUUGCAGUUGAGAUAUUGUUUAACAGAUGGAGUGGUUUCUGUUGGACACUAAGUACUGCUACAAAG